rnacentral:rRNA from 1 species
UACGGGGGGGAGCAAGCGUUGUUCGGAUUUACUGGGCGUAAAGGGCGCGUAGGCGGUCAGCACAAGUCAGUUGUGAAAUCUCCGGGCUUAACUCGGAAAGGUCAACUGAUACUGUGCGACUAGAGUGCAGAAGGGGCAACUGGAAUUCUCGGUGUAGCGGUGAAAUGCGUAGAUAUCGAGAGGAACACCUGCGGCGAAGGCGGGUUGCUGGGCUGACACUGACGCUGAUGCGCGAAGCCAGGGGAGCGAACGGG